GUGCUCACUUUGGCAGUAUAUAUAGACUAAAACUGAAAUGAUACAGAGAAGAUUAGCAUGGCCCACGUGCAAGGAUGGAUGAAAUGCAAAUUCAUGAAGCAUUCCAAUCCUUU
rnacentral:snRNA from 1 species